rnacentral:rRNA from 1 species
GGGUUGUGAGGUUAAGCGACUAAGCGUACACGGUGGAUGCCCUGGCAGUCAGAGGCGAUGAAGGACGUGCUAAUCUGCGAUAAGCGUCGGUAAGGUGAUAUGAACCGUUAUAACCGGCGAUUUCCGAAUGGGGAAACCCAGUGUGUUUCGACACACUAUCAUUAACUGAAUCCAUAGGUUAAUGAGGCGAACCGGGGGAACUGAAACAUCUAAGUACCCCGAGGAAAAGAAAUCAACCGAGAUUCCCCCAGUAGCGGCGAGCGAACGGGGAGCAGCCCAGAGCCUGAAUCAGUGUGUGUGUUAGUGGAAGCGUCUGGAAAGGCGCGCGAUACAGGGUGACAGCCCCGUACACAAAAAUGCACAUACUGUGAGCUCGAUGAGUAGGGCGGGACACGUGGUAUCCUGUCUGAAUAUGGGGGGACCAUCCUCCAAGGCUAAAUACUCCUGACUGACCGAUAGUGAACCAGUACCGUGAGGGAAAGGCGAAAAGAACCCCGGCGAGGGGAGUGAAAAAGAACCUGAAACCGUGUACGUACAAGCAGUGGGAGCACGCUUCGGCGUGUGACUGCGUACCUUUUGUAUAAUGGGUCAGCGACUUAUAUUCUGUAGCAAGGUUAACCGAAUAGGGGAGCCGAAGGGAAACCGAGUCUUAACUGGGCGUUAAGUUGCAGGGUAUAGACCCGAAACCCGGUGAUCUAGCCAUGGGCAGGUUGAAGGUUGGGUAACACUAACUGGAGGACCGAACCGACUAAUGUUGAAAAAUUAGCGGAUGACUUGUGGCUGGGGGUGAAAGGCCAAUCAAACCGGGAGAUAGCUGGUUCUCCCCGAAAGCUAUUUAGGUAGCGCCUCGUGAAUUCAUCUCCGGGGGUAGAGCACUGUUUCGGCAAGGGGGUCAUCCCGACUUACCAACCCGAUGCAAACUGCGAAUACCGGAGAAUGUUAUCACGGGAGACACACGGCGGGUGCUAACGUCCGUCGUGAAGAGGGAAACAACCCAGACCGCCAGCUAAGGUCCCAAAGUCAUGGUUAAGUGGGAAACGAUGUGGGAAGGCCCAGACAGCCAGGAUGUUGGCUUAGAAGCAGCCAUCAUUUAAAGAAAGCGUAAUAGCUCACUGGUCGAGUCGGCCUGCGCGGAAGAUGUAACGGGGCUAAACCAUGCACCGAAGCUGCGGCAGCGACACUAUGUGUUGUUGGGUAGGGGAGCGUUCUGUAAGCCUGUGAAGGUGUGCUGUGAGGUAUGCUGGAGGUAUCAGAAGUGCGAAUGCUGACAUAAGUAACGAUAAAGCGGGUGAAAAGCCCGCUCGCCGGAAGACCAAGGGUUCCUGUCCAACGUUAAUCGGGGCAGGGUGAGUCGACCCCUAAGGCGAGGCCGAAAGGCGUAGUCGAUGGGAAACAGGUUAAUAUUCCUGUACUUGGUGUUACUGCGAAGGGGGGACGGAGAAGGCUAUGUUGGCCGGGCGACGGUUGUCCCGGUUUAAGCGUGUAGGCUGGUUUUCCAGGCAAAUCCGGAAAAUCAAGGCUGAGGCGUGAUGACGAGGCACUACGGUGCUGAAGCAACAAAUGCCCUGCUUCCAGGAAAAGCCUCUAAGCAUCAGGUAACAUCAAAUCGUACCCCAAACCGACACAGGUGGUCAGGUAGAGAAUACCAAGGCGCUUGAGAGAACUCGGGUGAAGGAACUAGGCAAAAUGGUGCCGUAACUUCGGGAGAAGGCACGCUGAUAUGUAGGUGAAGUCCCUCGCGGAUGGAGCUGAAAUCAGUCGAAGAUACCAGCUGGCUGCAACUGUUUAUUAAAAACACAGCACUGUGCAAACACGAAAGUGGACGUAUACGGUGUGACGCCUGCCCGGUGCCGGAAGGUUAAUUGAUGGGGUUAGCGGUAACGCGAAGCUCUUGAUCGAAGCCCCGGUAAACGGCGGCCGUAACUAUAACGGUCCUAAGGUAGCGAAAUUCCUUGUCGGGUAAGUUCCGACCUGCACGAAUGGCGUAAUGAUGGCCAGGCUGUCUCCACCCGAGACUCAGUGAAAUUGAACUCGCUGUGAAGAUGCAGUGUACCCGCGGCAAGACGGAAAGACCCCGUGAACCUUUACUAUAGCUUGACACUGAACAUUGAGCCUUGAUGUGUAGGAUAGGUGGGAGGCUUUGAAGUGUGGACGCCAGUCUGCAUGGAGCCGACCUUGAAAUACCACCCUUUAAUGUUUGAUGUUCUAACGUUGGCCCCUGAUCGGGGUUGCGGACAGUGUCUGGUGGGUAGUUUGACUGGGGCGGUCUCCUCCUAAAGAGUAACGGAGGAGCACGAAGGUUGGCUAAUCCUGGUCGGACAUCAGGAGGUUAGUGCAAUGGCAUAAGCCAGCUUGACUGCGAGCGUGACGGCGCGAGCAGGUGCGAAAGCAGGUCAUAGUGAUCCGGUGGUUCUGAAUGGAAGGGCCAUCGCUCAACGGAUAAAAGGUACUCCGGGGAUAACAGGCUGAUACCGCCCAAGAGUUCAUAUCGACGGCGGUGUUUGGCACCUCGAUGUCGGCUCAUCACAUCCUGGGGCUGAAGUAGGUCCCAAGGGUAUGGCUGUUCGCCAUUUAAAGUGGUACGCGAGCUGGGUUUAGAACGUCGUGAGACAGUUCGGUCCCUAUCUGCCGUGGGCGCUGGAGAACUGAGGGGGGCUGCUCCUAGUACGAGAGGACCGGAGUGGACGCAUCACUGGUGUUCGGGUUGUCAUGCCAAUGGCACUGCCCGGUAGCUAAAUGCGGAAGAGAUAAGUGCUGAAAGCAUCUAAGCACGAAACUUGCCCCGAGAUGAGUUCUCCCUGACCCUUUAAGGGUCCUGAAGGAACGUUGAAGACGACGACGUUGAUAGGCCGGGUGUGUAAGCGCAGCGAUGCGUUGAGCUAACCGGUACUAAUGAACCGUGAGGCUUAACCUUACAACGCCGAAG